AUGUACAAGUGGCUUGAGAGGCCUAUCAAUGGUUGCAGCUAUAAGUGGAUAUGGGAGGAAAAAUUACCUCUCAAAAUCCAGAUUUUUCUAUGGUAGAUGGCACAUGAUGUUGUGUUGACUAGAGCCGUGAUGAAAAGGAAAAAAUGGCCGGGGAACCCUAUGUGUUCUUUUUGCAACAAUGUGGAAACUGCCACUCAUCAGUUUUUCACUUGUCCCGUUGCGCGGAUAACCUGGAGAACAAUUGGGGUGGUGCUGGGAACUGAGUUGUGCCCUAAUAAUACCUGGUAG
rnacentral:rRNA from 1 species